rnacentral:rRNA from 1 species
AUGAACGCUAGCUACAGGCUUAACACCUUCCAGUCGCGGGGCAGCAUGGGGGUUGCUUGCAAUCCCCGAUGGCGACCGGCGCACGGGUGAGUAACGCGUAUCCAACCUGCCCUUCACCACGGGAUAACCCGGCGAAAGUCGGACUAAUACCGUAUGUUGUCCAUUGACGGCAUCCGAUUUGGACGAAAGGCUUGGCGGUGAGGGAUGGGGAUGCGUCCGAUUAGCCAGACGGCGGGGUAACGGCCCACCGUGGCUACGAUCGGUAGGGGUUCUGAGAGGAAGGUCCCCCACACUGGAACUGAGACACGGUCCAGACUCCUACGGGAGGCAGCAGUGAGGAAUAUUGGUCAAUGGGCGUAAGCCUGAACCAGCCAAGUAGCGUGCAGGAUGACGGCCCUAUGGGUUGUAAACUGCUUUUAUGCGGGGAUAAAGUGGCCCACGUGUGGGCUUUUGCAGGUACCGCAUGAAUAAGGACCGGCUAAGUCCGUG